rnacentral:rRNA from 1 species
AGUGACCUACGGGGGGCAGCAGUAAGGGAUAUUGGUCAAUGGGGGAAACCCUGAACCAGCAACGCCGCGUGAGGGAAGACGGUUUUCGGAUUGUAAACCUCUGUCCUCUGUGAAGAUGAUGACGGUAGCAGAGGAGGAAGCUCCGGCUAACUACGUGCCAGCAGCCGCGGUAAUACGUAGGGAGCGAGCGUUAUCCGGAUUUACUGGGUGUAAAGGGAGCGUAGACGGCAUUGCAAGUCCGGAGUGAAAGCCCACGGCCCAACCGUGGG